rnacentral:rRNA from 1 species
UACGUAGGUGGCAAGCGUUGUCCGGAUUUACUGGGCGUAAAGAGCGCGCAGGCGGUCGUUCAAGUCACGUGUGAAAGCCCCCCGGCUCAACUGGGGAGGGUCACGCGAUACUGAUCGACUGGAAGGCAGGAGAGGGUAGUGGAAUUCCCGGUGUAGUGGUGAAAUGCGUAGAUAUCGGGAGGAACACCAGUGGCGAAGGCGACUACCUGGACCGGAACUGACGCUGAGGCGCGAAAGCGUGGGGGAGCAAACAGGG